UACGAAGGGGCUAGCGUUGUUCGGAAUUACUGGGCGUAAAGCGCGCGCAGGCGGUCCUUCGCAAGUCAGAGGUGAAAGCCCAGAGCUCAACUCUGGAAUGGCCUUUGAGACUAGAGGACUUGGGUACGGGAGAGGUGAGUGGAAUUCCGAGUGUAGAGGUGAAAUUCGUAGAUAUUCGGAAGAACACCAGUGGCGAAGGCGGCUCACUGGCCCGU
rnacentral:rRNA from 1 species